rnacentral:tRNA from 1 species
GGAGAGGUGGCAGAGUGGUCGAAUGCGACAGUCUUGAAAACUGUUGGGCCUUCACGGGUCUCGUGGGUUCGAAUCCCACCCUCUCCGCCA